rnacentral:rRNA from 1 species
GGCGAACGCUGGCGGCGUGCUUAACACAUGCAAGUCGAACGGAAAGGCCUGCUUUCCCUUGUGGAUUGCGGGUACUCGAGUGGCGAACGGGUGAGUAACACGUGAGUGAUCUGCCCCCAACUUGGGUAUAAGCCUGGGAAACUGGGUCUAAUUCCCGAUAGGACUGCAGGGUGGUGCCUGUGGUGGAAAACGAUUUUCUAGUGGUUGGGGAUGAGCUCGCGGCCUAUCAGCUUGUUGGUGGGGUAAUGGCCUACCAAGGCGGCGACGGGUAGCCGGCCUGAGAGGGUGGACGGCCACAUUGGGACUGGGAUACGGCCCAGACUCCUACGGGAGGCAGCAGUGGGGAAUAUUGCACAAUGGGCGGAAGCCUGAUGCAGCGACGCCGCGUGGGGGAUGACGGCCUUCGGGUUGUAAACUCCUUUCGACCGCGAGGAAGCCACCUGGUUGGAAGGGUGGUGACGGUAGUGGUAGAAGAAGCACCGGCUAACUACGUG